UGGUGGCAAAAUAGUUAAGUGUUUGGCUGCUAACCAAAAGGUCUGCAGUUCAAAUCUAGCAGCCA
rnacentral:tRNA from 1 species